rnacentral:rRNA from 1 species
UACGGAGGGAGCUAGCGUUGUUCGGAAUUACUGGGCGUAAAGCGCGCGUAGGCGGCUUUGUAAGUUAGAGGUGAAAGCCCGGGGCUCAACUCCGGAAUUGCCUUUAAGACUGCAUCGCUAGAAUCCGGGAGAGGUGAGUGGAAUUCCGAGUGUAGAGGUGAAAUUCGUAGAUAUUCGCAAGAACACCAGUGGCGAAGGCGGCUCACUGGCCCGUAACUGACGCUGAGGCACGAAAGCGUGGGGAGCAAACAGG